rnacentral:snRNA from 1 species
UUCCCCGAAUAGAGGAGGACCGGUCUUCGGUCAAGGGUAUACGAGUAGCUGCGCUCCCCUGCUAGAACCUCCAAACAAGCUCUCAAGGUCCAUUUUCUGUGCUUUUAAUCUGGGUUUCUUCUCUUUCCUCUAUUCCUACUAU